rnacentral:rRNA from 1 species
UACGGGAGGCAGCAGUGGGGGAUAUUGCGCAAUGGGGGAAACCCUGACGCAGCAACGCCGCGUGGAUGAUGACGGUUUUCGGAUUGUAAAGUCCUUUUCUUAGGGACGAAUAAUGACGGUACCUAAGGAAUAAGCUCCGGCUAACUACGUGCCAGCAGCCGCGGUAAU